rnacentral:rRNA from 1 species
UACGAAGGGUGCAAGCGUUAAUCGGAAUUACUGGGCGUAAAGGGUGCGUAGGCGGUUCUUUAAGUCUGUCGUGAAAUCCCCGGGCUCAACCUGGGAAUGGCGAUGGAUACUGGCAGGCUGGAGUAUGGUAGAGGAAGGUGGAAUUCCCGGUGUAGCAGUGAAAUGCGUAGAGAUCGGGAGGAACACCAGUGGCGAAGGCGGCCUUCUGGACCAAUACUGACGCUCAUGCACGAAAGCGUGGGGAGCAAACAGG